UACGGGGGGGCGAAGCGUUGUUCGGUAAUUACUGGGCGUAAAGCGUGCGCAGGCGGCUUUGCAAGACAGAUGUGAAAUCCCCGGGCUUAACCCUGGGAACUGCAUUUGUGACUGCAUGGCUAGAGUCCGGAAGAGGAGAGUGGAAUUCCGUGGUGUAGCGGUGAAAUGCGCAGAUAUCAGGAAGAACACCCGUGGCGAAGCGGCUCUCUGGGACGGUACUGACGCUGAGACGCGAAAGCGUGGGGAGCGAACAGG
rnacentral:rRNA from 1 species